rnacentral:rRNA from 1 species
AUUGAACGCUGGCGGCAUGCCUAACACAUGCAAGUCGAACGGCAGCAUGAGAGAGCUUGCUCUCUUGAUGGCGAGUGGCGGACGGGUGAGUAAGGCAUCGGGACCUGCCCAUGGCGUGGGGGAUAACCCGGGGAAACCCGGACUAAUACCGCAUGUGCCCUACGGGGGAAAGCGGAGGAUCUCUUCGGAGACUUCGCGCGCUUGGAUGGACCGAUGCACGAUUAGCUGGUUGGUGGGGUAAUGGCCUACCAAGGCGACGAUCGUUAGCUGGUCUGAGAGGAUGAUCAGCCACACCGGGACUGAGACACGGCCCGGACUCCUACGGGAGGCAGCAGUGGGGAAUAUUGGACAAUGGGCGAAAGCCUGAUCCAGCAAUGCCGCGUGUGUGAAGAAGGCCUUCGGGUUGUAAAGCACUUUUAUCAGGAACGAAAUACCAUGGGUUAAUACCCUGUGGGGCUGACGGUACCUGAGGAAUAAGCACCGGCUAACUCCGUGCCAGCAGCCGCGGUAAUACGGAGGGUGCAAGCGUUAAUCGGAAUUACUGGGCGUAAAGCGUGCGUAGGCGGUUCGUUAAGUCUGCUGUGAAAGCCCCGGGCUCAACCUGGGAUGUGCCAGUGGAUACUGGCGAGCUAGAGUGUGUCAGAGGAUGGUGGAAUUCCCGGUGUAGCCGGUGAAAUGCGUAGAGAUCGGGGAGGAACAUCAGUGGCGAAGGCGGCCAUCUGGGACAACACUGACGCUGAGGCACGAAAGCGUGGGGAGCAAACAGGAUUAGAUACCCUGGGUAGUCCACGCCCUAAACGAUGCGAACCGGAUGUGCGUCUCAACUCGGAGAUGCGUGUCGAAGCUAACGCCGUUAAGUUCGCCGCCUGGGGAGUACGGUCGCAAGACUGAAACUCAAAGGAAUUGACGGGGGCCCGCACAAGCGGUGGAGUAUGUGGUUUAAUUCGAUGCAACGCGAAGAACCUUACCUGGCCUUGACAUGUCCGGAAUCCUCGAGAGAUCGAGGAGUGCCUUCGGGAAUCGGAACACAGGUGCUGCAUGGCUGUCGUCAGCUCGUGUCGUGAGAUGUUGGGUUAAGUCCCGCAACGAGCGCAACCCUUGUCCUUAGUUGCCAGCACGUAAUGGUGGGAACUCUAAGGAGACUGCCGGUGACAAACCGGAGGAAGGUGGGGAUGACGUCAAGUCCUCAUGGCCCUUACGGCCAGGGCUACACACGUACUACAAUGGCCGGUACAGAGGGUUGCGAAGCCGCGAGGUGGAGCCAAUCCCAGAAAGCCGGUCCCAGUCCGGAUCGCAGUCUGCAACUCGACUGCGUGAAGUCGGAAUCGCUAGUAAUCGCGAAUCAGCUAUGUCGCGGUGAAUACGUUCCCGGGCCUUGUACACACCGCCC